rnacentral:rRNA from 1 species
UACGUAGGGUGCGAGCGUUGUCCGGAAUCAUUGGGCGUAAAGAGCGCGCAGGCGGCUUGGCAAGUCGGGUGUGAAAUCCCGGGGCUCAACCCCGGGACUGCAUUCGAUACUGUCAGGCUAGAGGUAGGUAGGGGAGAUCGGAAUUCCUGGUGUAGCGGUGAAAUGCGCAGAUAUCAGGAGGAACACCGGUGGCGAAGGCGGAUCUCUGGGCCUUACCUGACGCUCAGGCGCGAAAGCUAGGGGAGCGAACAGG